UCUCUGGAGGACUAGUGAUUACGCCUCGGUGCUCUCACUGCCGCGCUCGGGUUCGAUUCCCGGCCAGGGAA